AUGCUUUUGGCUAAUUACUCUGAAUACCGGAAAGUAUCAGGAGAUGGGAGUUGCUUAUACAGAUCCUUCAUAUAUUCAUAUCUGGAGCAGCUUGUGAAAGUAUCUCCUGACGAGGAACUACGCUUAAUUGGGACACUUGAACCGUUGUUGGAGAAGUUCCAAAGACUUCAUUUGCCUGGUUCAUAUGCUGAUGGUCAUAACGCUUUUGUGAACUUGAUACUGGAUUGUAUGCACCACAAACAAAUUCUAUCAGUAAG